GUGAAUCAUCGAAUCUUUGAACGCAAAUUGCACUCCCUGGUAUUCCGGGGAGUAUGCCUGUUUGAGGGUCGUUAGAACAAAAAUCGAAGCGUCUCUCUUUUUUUUAAGGGUGAUCGCGUCGGAAUUGAGCCGUCUUUCAAAUGUUAAUUCAUGUCAAAGUGGCUUAAAAUUCAUCCAUCCGAUACGCAUAAAGCAUAUUUAUGAUCAACUUUGAUUAUGUACUCGCGAUGACG
rnacentral:misc_RNA from 1 species